rnacentral:rRNA from 1 species
CGGGGUGCACCAGGCGCGAAAACUUUACAAUGCGGGAAACCGUGAUAAGGGGACACCGAGUGCCAGCAUUAUAUGCUGGCUGUCCGGGUGUGUAAAAUACACCCGUUAGCAAGGGCCGGGCAAGACCGGUGCCAGCCGCCGCGGUAACACCGGCGGCCCGAGUGGUGAUCGUGAUUAUUGGGUCUAAAGGGUCCGUAGCCGGUUUGGUCAGUCCUCCGGGAAAUCUGACGGCUCAACCGUUAGGCUUUCGGGGGAUACUGCCAGGCUUGGAACCGGGAGAGGUAAGAGGUACUACAGGGGUAGGAGUGAAAUCUUGUAAUCCCUGUGAGACCACCUGUGGCGAAGGCGUCUUACCAGAACGGGUUCGACGGCGAGGGACGAAAGCUGGGGGCACGAACCGGAUUAGAUACCCGGGUAGUCCCAGCCGUAAACGAUGCUCGCUAGGUGUCAGGCAUGGCGCGACCGUGUCUGGUGCCGCAGGGAAGCCGUGAAGCGAGCCACCUGGGAAGUACGGCCGCAAGGCUGAAACUUAAAGGAAUUGGCGGGGGAGCAC